rnacentral:misc_RNA from 1 species
CAUGCAAUUAAACUUCAAGAAAAAUCCCAAUAUGCAAUCUGUUAAUCUUCAAGAAAAAUCAAAUAAAAUCAAAAUUUUGAAAAACCUAAAUCAAUUCAACUAAGAAAAAUCAAAUUCAAAGACAAAUUAGAAAAAAACCACAACCCAACUGAAAUUAAAUUCAGAUGAAGAAUUGUAUUAAACACAUGCUAAUUGUCCAAAAAACAAAUGGCAAAGGGGACGAGGAGGUGAGGUUGGGGGCGAGGAGGUGAGGUUGCAGAAGAAGUCGAGCGCAGGGGCUGACUGUGACACUGCAUGCCAGGUUACGAGGGGUAUAAUCAACAAUGAUGAUGAGAUUCGCAAGUAGAGGAAAUAGUGAGACUUAAAAGGAAAAUGGGUCUGUGGAGAGAGAGAGAAAGAGGGAAACCAAAAAUGAAAAGAAAAAUAAAAUCCAUUCCUCAAGAUCUUGUUGUGGGUGAUGAUCACAAUCUCUACUUGAGGUUUCUGUGAUUGUGAGAGUAAAGACAAAUGGUUACAUUGUGAUAGUGAGAGAGGAGAAUGUGAGUGUGACUAGUGAGACAAAGAAGUGUCUUUUGUUGAGAUCUAGUUGAGGGCUUUGUAUACAAGCAAAAUAACGUAGUAUUAUGUAGGUUUGGUUAGUUUGAUAUUUUGAUUGAACUAACUGAACUAAAAUUUUGAAAUUUUCUUAAAAUGAUAAUCAAAAUUGGACUAAUUAGAUAGAAAAAUCAAAUUGAGUUGAUUCAGUUUGAUUCUAUUUUUUAGUUAUAACUGCAUUUGGCUCAAUCCUAAUUCUUAGAGAUAUGUUUUAGUUGCUUGAUGAGUAGAAAUGCACAGUUUAGUAAUGAAAAUUAGCAACUAAUCUAAUCCAUUGCUAAUUAGCAAUGAUUUGGGAAUGAAAUAGAAGCCAGAUAUGAUCAGUAAAAUUGGUAAGAGAUUAGUAAUGAAAAAGUUUCCAUUGCUAUAUUGCACCACAAAAAAUGGUGCAAAUUUAUGAAACGGAUUAGAAGUGUAUUAAUGACUGAAAUUAG